rnacentral:lncRNA from 1 species
CAAAAUAAAAUUAAAACCCCAUAACUCAAUCCUUAUGAAAUUAGGGAAGACAACACGCAAAGAACUCGUUCCCUGUAAAUCUCUCAUAUAACCCUCGUCAGUCGUCCCUAUCAAUCUUUCCCCCUCUCUCUCAAUAUCAAGCAACGUAGACACCGGCCCUCAAUUGUUUGAGAGAGGCAUAAUUUUUGGGAACUUUAUUCUCCAUUAUUUCGAGGUAAACUUAAUUGUUUGCUAUUUUUAGAAAAUUUUAUUGGAGUUGCAUAUUUCCCCAUGCCCUAAUUGUUAGAUUUUCCUUUUUAUAAUUGUAAUCUUUUACUGAUUUGUCACCUUCUGAUUGUUGAGUUUGAUUAUUACACCGGUGGAAUCUACACUGUAAGAGGGACGAUAAGUUUAUAGGGUUCUUGAGGUGAAGGAUGGACAAUUAAUUCUUUGUUAUUCACUAUUUACGGGAAAUUAUUAAAAUUUCAUUCUUUGUUUGCCCUUUAACUCUCUCACUACCAUAAGACAUCUACAGUUUAACAAGUUGAUAUUUGCGAGAAUUUUUUAGGUUUUUUGCAAUGAUUGAUAUUUGAGAUGGAAUUAUAUUGUCACAUGAUGUUUUUCUAUAACAUGUGCUCUGUUCUUGGUCUGAUUUAGAACUUACUAAACAUGCGCUUGAGGUACUACACUGAAAACCAGUAGCAGGCAGAAAUGCACAUUCAAUUUCAAAAGGGCAUACUUCUGGUUUCCAAUGCAAAGCCUACUCUGCGUCAAACCUAAUCUUCUUUGAGUUGGGUUGGUUUCCAAUAAUUUCUGGACAAUCAUAAUCAAUACCAGAGGCCUCAAUCCUCUGUUGCCUUCUCUGGUCCGUUUUUUAUAAUUCUUUCUACCAACUUCUUGUGCUCUUCCUAAGUCCUUUCCUUAUCAUGAUGACUCCUUUCAAUUUUAACCCAAUCCAAGGGUUUGUACCAGUGCGUCAUACCUUUCCAUUGUUUCGGAUGAACACACUCAAGAGGAACAAGUAGAACUUGCAACAGAUGCUCAAACAAUAAGUAGUUAUGCAUGAAUUCUGAAACAACUUUUCCAACCUCAGGAGAUUCAAAUUCAACGAAUCCAAAAUGCCUCGAUUUCCCUGUCUUCCCAGUCCUUCCUAUUCUGAGUCUCUUGAUUGUAACAAAUUGCUUAAAGGAACCUUCCAUUUCAUUCUCAUAAAAUCCAUGUGGAAUUCUUCCAAUAUAUAAGACAGUUGCUUUAUUCUCUUUUUCUUCAAUCUUUGGAACUCGUUUUGAUUCAAGUUGCUACUUAUCAAAAUUAGGAGGAGAACAAUUCUUUUGAACAGCGUCAAUUAGUAGUUAAUAAAUUUUCAUUUCUUGAAUUAUAAAGUAUUCUAGAGUUUGGUAAAGUGUCAAUAACGAUGAGCAUUUUUUUCCUGGUUGUGCCUUCUGAAAAUUGGUGGUGAAUCAAAUUCUUGGCAUGUCACAAAGAUUUGGAGUUAUGUAUUAGAAUAUAAAUAAUAUGGAUGCCAUCUAGUGCUCCAAAAUUUAUUCAGAAAGUUUAUUCAGAUUUCCUGGUUGUACCUUUUUUUUUUCCGAAAUCAUCUACUAAUCAAAAAAAGGGAAAGGUAUAGAAAUAAUUGGAGUUUUAAUAAUAUAGUUGAUUGUCAUUGCUACUUUGACGUCAUUUUCCAUUUCUUAGUGUCCACGAUGUAUUUGGGCAAUUUUGGCUUCUUAGUGACAGAAAUAGAAUCUAAGUUAGGCCAGUAAAUUUGAUAAAUUUUUCUCUACUUGUGAGUUUGUACGAUAGAUUCAAUUAAAAUGAUUUUCAUUAGUAUGUUUGUCGUUGAUUUUUAAGUGUUUAAUAUGCCAUGAAAAUCUUGGACCAAUCUUGAACAUAGAAAGAAAACUUUAAAAUUCAAAUUAGGUAAAAAUGGAGAAAAUGUAAUUUUAUACAACUGUUGAUCUCAAACCAAAUCAAUGCCAACUCAAGAUACUCUAGCUAGUAUCUUCUUCAUCCUUCAUGGGUUUGUAUUCUAUUUUUGGUAUUGCACUAGGGAAAUUUUUGAAAUUCCCUCUGUCCCUCCUUGAAUAUUUCUCUUGUCCAUAUUCUUAAUAAAGUUCUCAAUUAACUUCUCAACAGAUUGCAGUAGGGUAGAAGGAGGUUCUAACUGUUCCAAUUUCACCUACUUUAAUUCAGGUUUGAAUUACUUUUUUGUAAUUUCAAUUUGUGUGAAACUUUAUUGUCAAAAUGACUUACCUAACUAGAACCUGAUUUCUAUGAUAUCAUAAUAUAAUCAUUUUUCACUUCAUUUUUAAUAUGUUUAAACAGAUUAUAAAUUAAUAGUGUUGGUAUGUCUUAUCAUGGAUAAAGAUUGGGUACACUUAUCAAG